rnacentral:rRNA from 1 species
AACCGAGAUUCCCCCAGUAGCGGCGAGCGAACGGGGAGCAGCCCAGAGCCUGAAUCAGUAUGUGUGUUAGUGGAAGCGUCUGGAAAGGCGCGCGAUACAGGGUGACAGCCCCGUACACAAAAAUGCACAUGCUGUGAGCUCGAUGAGUAGGGCGGGACACGUGGUAUCCUGUCUGAAUAUGGGGGGACCAUCCUCCAAGGCUAAAUACUCCUGACUGACCGAUAGUGAACCAGUACCGUGAGGGAAAGGCGAAAAGAACCCCGGCGAGGGGAGUGAAAAAGAACCUGAAACCGUGUACGUACAAGCAGUGGGAGCACGCUUAGGCGUGUGACUGCGUACCUUUUGUAUAAUGGGUCAGCGACUUAUAUUCUGUAGCAAGGUUAACCGAAUAGGGGAGCCGAAGGGAAACCGAGUCUUAACUGGGCGUUAAGUUGCAGGGUAUAGACCCGAAACCCGGUGAUCUAGCCAUGGGCAGGUUGAAGGUUGGGUAACACUAACUGGAGGACCGAACCGACUAAUGUUGAAAAAUUAGCGGAUGACUUGUGGCUGGGGGUGAAAGGCCAAUCAAACCGGGAGAUAGCUGGUUCUCCCCGAAAGCUAUUUAGGUAGCGCCUCGUGAAUUCAUCUCCGGGGGUAGAGCACUGUUUCGGCAAGGGGGUCAUCCCGACUUACCAACCCGAUGCAAACUGCGAAUACCGGAGAAUGUUAUCACGGGAGACACACGGCGGGUGCUAACGUCCGUCGUGAAGAGGGAAACAACCCAGACCGCCAGCUAAGGUCCCAAAGUCAUGGUUAAGUGGGAAACGAUGUGGGAAGGCCCAGACAGCCAGGAUGUUGGCUUAGAAGCAGCCAUCAUUUAAAGAAAGCGUAAUAGCUCACUGGUCGAGUCGGCCUGCGCGGAAGAUGUAACGGGGCUAAACCAUGCAC